CACCACUCAAGCACCGCUUGGUAUUGGGCAUCGUCCGUCGAAAGGCGGGCGUGCCUCGAAGACCUCGGCGGGGUUUCUCCAACUUCGGGCGUAGUAGAGUUAAAUCAAAACGUCUUAUAAGCUUGGUGAGAUCUCAUUGCCGUUAAACCUUUUAUUUUUCA
rnacentral:misc_RNA from 1 species